UACAGAGGGUGCGAGCGUUGUCCGGAAUCACUGGGCGUAAAGGGCGCGUAGGCGGCCUGAUAAGUAGGGGGUGAAAUCUUGCGGCUCAACCGCAAGACUGCCUUCUAAACUGUCAGGCUGGAGCACGGUAGAGGCAGAUGGAAUUCCCGGUGUAGCGGUGGAAUGCGUAGAGAUCGGGAAGAACACCAGUGGCGAAGGCGGCCACCUAGCCCGCACCUGACGCUGAGGCGCGACAGCGUGGGGAGCGAACUGG
rnacentral:rRNA from 1 species